GAAUAAUUAGAACUGCGUAGUAUUUGGAAUACUUAAGCCCAAGAAAAUCUUGGGAAUAUUAAAAGGGUGAUGUUAAAUCCCCUGUCAAGGAAGGAAGAGCAUGGCCAGGCUUUGAAAGGGUGAACAAAAGGGAAGAUCUGUGGUCUAUGCUGGAUGUGCUGUCCCACUGCUAACAAAUUCAUGCAGAUCUUCCUACAGGUCUGGUGAUGCAGGCUUCCCAGCUUCCACUUUUGUCAAACUGAUUUUAUCACCUGGAGCUGUACAGUGUCAGGGCCAGUACUCCACUGUGUUUUCUGGGAUGCCCAGGUACUACAGGUGAUGAACUUAAGAAGAGUCAAGAGGUGGAGAAGAUGGGAGAAGAUGGACUUGGGGAAGGUCUGGUGCUGAUGGAGACCUGAAACAUUACAGAACAUGAGGCAAAAAUAUUUCCUGGGAAUAUUUCAGUAUCUUGGAAUGAAGACCUGGUCUGAUGGCAUAUCUGGAAGAGAGAGAUAACUACUACUAACUGUUCUUUGGAGUAUAUAUCAUCACAACAGAUCACUCACACCUGCUUUUCUCCCUAAGCUUACUUUGCAAUAAUGUAUCACAAUUUUAUUAUCUUUACCCAUUUUCUUCUCUUCAUAGCUCUUUGCACUCCCACCUUGUGCCUGGAAAAUUUUCUGAGAUAAUUCAGAUGUCUCCUAUGCUGCCAUAAUUUCAUACGUACCUGGGACAGUUAAAUGUUUUUGUUUUUUCUGCAUUUUGGGUUCAUGUAAAGUCAUGGGAAAGAGAUCUCUGCAUUUUUUGGUAUGAAAUACAAUAUUUUUUCUCUAUUUCUUUACUUUUUUCUAUUAUCUUUUAUCUUGUUAUUUGAAUGCAGCAUAAGUGAUUCUUAUAAUACAUUGAUAUGAUUAAUAUAUUUUCAAAUUUCUGGUUUUAUUGUAUGAAAUGCUUUUGGAUCAGAAGGCUUGCUAACUUGUUCAAGGCCACUGUGCCUUAUAAUUAUAAAGUAUGUAUUUAUAUGGCCUGAAGAUCUCCUGGAGGUCUACAAAAGGAAAAAAAAUCCAUUAAUUUUUCUAACUUAUGGCAAUCUAAAAACAAUUCUGUUUGUUUGUUUGUUUUCUUUUAAAACAAGCAUGUCUUUCUAAAGCUGAGAAUAGCUCCAGGGAAUACAAUACUGGAGAAAGAUAUUCAGAAGAUCAUUUAAAACCUGAUGUAAACAUUAUUAUAUAUUAUUAUAUUAUUAUAUUAUUACAGACCUAUAGUAAGAACAAUUUUACUAAAGAGGGGAAAAAAAGUCCUGUUGUUACUCCAGAUUAUGCAGAAAGAAAUGUGGGGCUUUUUUCCAUCCAACCUAAGAGAGUAUGUGAAUAAUCAUUUAAAUCAAGCACUGACAUCUGCAUGUGCUUCAGUUGGCUUGCUUUUAAUCAACAAACUGUCAGCCUAUGACAUUACUGUAAGUACACAGUUCAAGUGCCAAGAAAUUACAGGCCAUUUUAAGUCCUGGGACUGAGUUGGUUGGUGAGUUAAUACAAGUGCAUCUAAGAUGUAUGCCUCGUGCCUGAACAGAUACAAAGUAUGCUUAUUUUGGCUGGUGGAAGUACAUCCUGGAAUGUGUUUUUUCGACUUAAAACAGCUUGAUGAAAAAAAAACAAAUGAAAAGUAAAAGAAAAAAAUUUGGAAAAAAAGGCAAGAAGUUUCUAAAUGCCAGUUUGUCUGGUUUAAGAGUUAUUAACACACUAAGAAUUUAAAAGUAGAAUAGGUGCUGGUCUGUGAUGGGAAAACACAUUUAAUGAAUACAGGAACAAAAACUAGGGGGGAAAAAAGAACAACGAGCAGGAGAGAUUUACUGCAGUUUUAGUUGCAUUAGCCUAUGUUUGCUCUCACUUGCCAUGAACUCGCUGAAGCUACUCUUCCUUUGACGUGGCCACAGCAGCUGAAAAUGAAAGUUGACCCUUUCAGCAUCAGCUAUGCAAGGCAAGAUCUGCUCCAGGCCCUGGGACAUGCUUCCCUGUUCAUGAGUUUUCAGCUUUUUUUUCAAAAAAAGAAGCCAUGCUCAGUGAGAAAUCAGUUUCUGAGAAAAAUUUGAGGAUGUGAGUGUGUUACUAUAUUGAUAGGCACAGAUAUUCAAAUUCUAACUUGCAGAAAAGAAAAAAAGAGAUGCGGCCACAUUUCCCAUUUAGAGAAGGAACAAUAAAGUCUCUUAAAAUCCUGCUUCCUAUAAUCCCAAUGCAUGGCUGAACACUGCAAAGCAUUUUCUUUCUCACUUCCCUGGCUUCUGAGACAUCAGAUACUAUCUGUUGUUAGAUGCAGGAUGCUGGAUUAGGUAUGGCAGCUCUUGUGUUCCCAAGGGAUUGCUCUGCUGGGGUUGCUACUGUUUGUCUGCAUUCAAAGAUGGAUUUAAACUGAUAAAGAAAGAAAACUUGUAUAAAGCAUACAGUAACUCAUUCUGUUAAGGAUUUGGCAUGGCAUUCAAGGGAAACCAAUUAUGAUUUAUGUCAAUACAGCACAGAUAAUUUCCCAUUGAUUGACUGCCAGAUCCUUCAUAAAAUAAUGAGUUAGGCCUGAUGCCAGUGAUUCUUGAACACCAUCAGGCCAGUGUUUCUAUUUCAUAUGCCCUUGACAAGGCUUCUCUCAAAAAUUUGUGCGUUAAAUGAGUUUAUAAGUUCUCUUCAAAUAUGCAGACUCAAACAAAUAUAAUCUGUGAUUCCCUUAUGUGUUAGUGGGGUUUUUGAAAUGCAUGCUCGUGUCUAGGCAUUUGGCUACAGGUCUAGCAAAAGUGAGUAUUCAUUCAUUACUUAAAAACCAAACAAACAAUAGGAGUUUCUCUGUUUGCUAAGGAUUUCUCUUAGGAGAUUAGUGCAUGCCCAUAUUCCAAGCAGUUCUCAGAGACAAAUAACUUGUGCAAGCCUGUGGUUACCUGGAAACAAAUUGUAUUUCUUGAGGACUAACUGGUGUGGGGAAAGUCCUCUGUGUUUGUCCAGAACAGUCAUUUACAAAUCUUCUAUUGCUGCAGGCCUGACCAAUGCCAGUCACUGCGUAGUGUGUGUGUGUGUUCAUUAUUCAAGAGACACAGAACUGAAUUUUCCUACCCUAAGGAUGAGGAGAUGGGGGCUGGCCAUGUCUGGAUUGCUUGUGGUGUGGGAUUAUUAAGCAGCUGAAACUUCCUUUACAAAUGUGUGAGCGGAAUGAAGGCAGCAAAUGGUGCUUCUAGAGAGGACAUAUGCCAUCUGUCUCAGGAGAGUUUGCCAUCCCAAACACAGAACUUCUCCCUUGAAAGUAUCUGCAGCUGCUCUGUUUUUCUGCUCCCUUGCAAUAAACAGUCAGGUCAUAGACAUCUGGUGUGAGCAGUGCCAUCCUUUUUGUGCCAUAGCUGAUUUUGGCUAUGGUGGAGUUAAUUUUCUUCCUAGCAGCCAGUCAGGUGCUGUGUUUUGGAUUUCUGCUGAAGACAGUGUUGAUAACACAGGGUUGUUUUUGUUAUUGUUGUGCACUCUGUACACAGAGCCAGGCCUUUUCUGCUUCUCACCCCAUCCCACCAGUGAAUGAGCUGGCCAUGUACAACAAGCUGGGAGGGGACACAGCCAGGACAGCUGACUCCAACUGACCUGAAGGAUAUCCCAUACCAUAUGAUGUCAUGCUCAGUAUAUAAAGCUGUGGGAAGCAAGAGGGAGGCAGGGAUAUUCAGAGUGAUGGUAUUUUUCUUCCCAAGUAACCAUUUCCCAUGACAAAGCCUGGGCUCCCUGGAGAUGGCAGAACACCUGCCUGCCCAUGGGAAGUAAUGAAUUAAUUCCUUGUUUUGUUUGUUUGAGUGUGCAGUUUUUGCUUUACCUAUUAAACUGUUUUUAUCUCAGCCCAUGAGUUUUCUCACUAUUGCCUAUCCAAUUCUGUCCCCAGUCCAAGGCAAAAAGAGUGAGAAGCUGUGUGGUGCUUUGUUGGCAGCUGGGGCUAAACCCACUCACUUUCCUGUUGCUGACAGUCUUCUGUCUUAGGACACUGCCUGUCUUGCCUAUGCCCAGCCACAUCCACAUAUGUUUCCAUGAAUGCUUCAUAUCUAACUAUUUAGAGAACUCUGAAAACUUGAAAUUAUUGCUUUCCUUGCAGAAAAUCUAGAAAACAUCUUAAAAAGUCUUCAUCUCCCCUUCUGAGAGAUGAGCAAACUGGUAUGGUGAGGUUCACCUGGAGGCUCACAGCCUCCAGGGAGUUUGGGUAGGAACACAAAAGAAAUAAUAGGUAUGGUGAGGAAGAAAUUAAUUUUAAAGGAGAAAGCAAAAAAGAUAUCAGCUGGAGGAGACAUGAUUUUUAGAAAUAAGUCUUACCAAGCUUGGCAUUUUUUAGGGGAUGGGAAAAGCAAACCAGCUAAAGCUGGAAUUAAUAAAUAUAUGGAAGGUAAUGGGAGUGUUUUAGAUGUUCAUGUAAAGUUUUAAGUCUUGUUCUAAUGGCUGUGUGCUUUUUGGUUAAUAAAUACUGCACUCUUCUCAAUGGAAGAAGUUUGUUGUGUGCACUUAAACUAAAAGUAGUCUCCCGAAUGGAAACCUAUUGACA